UACGUAGGUGGCAAGCGUUGUCCGGAUUUAUUGGGUUUAAAGGGUGCGUAGGCGGCCUUAUAAGUCAGUGCUGAAAUAUCCCGGCUUAACCGGGAGGGUGGCAUUGAUACUGUAGGGCUUGAGUACAGAUGAGGUAGGCGGAAUUGACGGUGUAGCGGUGAAAUGCAUAGAUAUAACAUAGAACACCAAUUGCGAAGGCAGCUUACUACAGGAAUAUUGACACUGAUGCACGAAAGCGUGGGGAUCAAACAGG
rnacentral:rRNA from 1 species